UACAGAGGGUGCAAGCGUUAAUCGGAAUUACUGGGCGUAAAGCGUGCGUAGUCGGUUAUUCAAGUCGGGCGUGAAAGCCUCGGGCUCAACCUGGGAAUUGCGUCCGAUACUGUCUAGCUAGAGUUCGGCAGAGGGAAGUGGAAUUUCAGGUGUAGCGGUGAAAUGCGUAGAUAUCUGAAGGAACAUCAGUGGCGAAAGCGACUUCCUGGACCAGAACUGACGAUCAGGCACGAAAGCGUGGGGAGCAAACAGG
rnacentral:rRNA from 1 species